rnacentral:rRNA from 1 species
GAUGAACGCUCGCUACAGGCUUAACACAUGCAAGUCGAGGGGAAACGACAUCGAAAGCUUGCUUUUGAUGGGCGUCGACCGGCGCACGGGUGAGUAACGCGUAUCCAACCUGCCCAUCACUUGGGGAUAACCUUGCGAAAGUAAGACUAAUACCCAAUGAUAUCUCUAGAAGACAUCUGAAAGAGAUUAAAGAUUUAUCGGUGAUGGAUGGGGAUGCGUCUGAUUAGCUUGUUGGCGGGGUAACGGCCCACCAAGGCAACGAUCAGUAGGGGUUCUGAGAGGAAGGUCCCCCACAUUGGAACUGAGACACGGUCCAAACUCCUACGGGAGGCAGCAGUGAGGAAUAUUGGUCAAUGGGCGAGAGCCUGAACCAGCCAAGUAGCGUGCAGGAAGACGGCCCUAUGGGUGGUAAACUGCUUUUAUAAGGGAAUAAAGUGAGAGUCGUGACUCUUUUUGUAUGUACCUUAUGAAUAAGGACCGGCUAAUUCCGUG